rnacentral:lncRNA from 1 species
AUUCAGACAAGUAGCAGCAGCUCCAGGGCUUCAGAUAAUUUCUGUGUUUCAGUUCUUUUCAUUCCAUCCCUCUCAAGUAGUGCUUUGUCUCAGGGGUUGUUGUUUAAAUUCAAGCUCCAUCAUUGUGACUGCUGUACUAGGAGAAAAGUCAGAAGAGUGGAAAAUUUUGAAGAAGUAUCUCUGGCAAGAAUCUAGAAAGUUGACCCCCCACAGCUGAAAGCACCUAUAAGCAAAUCUGUGGGAGAAUCAUUAAGACUGAAUGAGUUGUCAGUGUGGAGAGAAGUUUGAGGUAAAUGAAAGCAUUGCUACAUCUACAUUUGAAGUAAUGGUUUUCUUCUAGGACUAUCAAGGACUAUGUGGAUCUGACAGGCACUUCUGCUCAGCUCUCCUCUAGAGACUCCUAGAACAUCAUCGUUUCCUGAUUUCUUUGCUGGCUGCUUUUAUAACCAAACUCCAAACAUCAAAAUUAUCAUCUUAGUCCUGGGUGUUCUGUCCUAAUGUGUUAACUGCAAAAAUGACCUCAAUUCUUAGGAACUUCUGCCAUCAGUAGCUGGAGUCUAUUGGGUUUCAAGUCUGGGCCUCAAGAGGCAUUGCAAACUUUCAUCCUCUCUUUUGAGAUUUCAGCACCAUCACCAAAUGAACAAGUCCCAGGUAGCCUGCUGGAGGAUGUACAACCAUGUGGAACGCCGAUGAGCCAUCACAGCUGAGUUGUUUUGGACCUGCUAGCUCUAAACCAAUGUCGCAGCUGUCUGUAGAAGCACGAAUGAGAUAUGGCCAAGCUCCAUUGAGCCUGGCCCAGAUAAGCAGAACUGUUUCACGGAGCCCAGGACAAAUUGCCAAACCCCAGUAUUGUGUAUUCAAUAAUUUCUAGUUGUUCUAAGCCACUAAGUUUCAGGGUGACUUGUUAAGUGGUUAUAACUACCUAAUAAGUACAUUUUGUAUUUCCUUUUUAUUAUCAUCUACCAUAGCCUGUUAUUAUUUUCUUUGUUUGUUUAUUUAUUUAUUAGCUGUUUCUCUGCAAAUGUAGGACAAUUGCAUUGUCUUGUCCUCUGAUGUAUUCAAAACAGUUGGUGACUGGCACGUCAAAGACACUUAUUGAAAAGUUACUGAAUAAAUGAACACAUGAUUGGAUGAAUAAAUGUUUAUAGGUAAAACUUCCAAAAGUAUAUUGAUAAAAAUGAAUAUUUCUAUCAGUUAUAUUAAUAACUUAUUUGCUGUCUAGAAUGACUCAGGAAAUUUAAUGUAUAUUAUUAAAGCACAAUUUCUAUUUUUUGUUUUAGGUUGUUUUUCUGCCAUUGCUAUCUACUUUGAUUAUUUUGCUAU